GUGCGCGUGACUGGCGGAAGUCACGACAGACGCCCUUAUAAAAGCCACGAACGCUGUUCGAUAUUAAUUCUUCAGCAUCGACGUCUGCAGGCUCUGAAGACAAUCAUCAUGAAGACGGCCAUCAUUAUUCUGUUCGUUCUGGUCGCUUGUUGCGCCGUUUCCGAGGUGGAAGCGUUGCAUCAUCGAGCCUUGCAGCGUUCAAUCAGGGCUGCUGCCCAAGCCUUCGCUCCUUCGUCGCUGGAGACUCCUGUCAGGUUCCGUAGGCGCAUGUGCUACAUUCCACGCGCCUACCCCAGACCGUGCUGACGACACCUGAAUGUCGCUCGUCAAGCGGUCACCGAUACGAGUGGCCCUCACACCUGACGGUGAAAUAAAAACGUUGCACGAGAUCA